AUACUUUCAUGGCAGGGGAGAUGCCAUAAUCAUAAAGGUGAUUUUCCCAGGGCAAGGCUUAUCUAUUGCACUCUUGAUGUGCUAACCCCUACGAUUUCCCCAAAUGUGGGAAACUCAACUGCAUACUUUGUGGUAGUAGAGAACUGUGUUCAUGCUCUCCCCUG